AAUCUAAAUAGCUUAAACUUAGAGCAAAGCAUUGAAGAUGCUAGUGUAAUAUAUAAUAUUUUUAGAU
rnacentral:tRNA from 1 species